ensembl:lncRNA
ACCUAAGGUCUUCUAAGGGUAAGUAGAUUUAUUUUUUUUCCUUUUUUUCUCUUGCUGCUGCUGCUGUAUUUGAACAUAUCCUUGCCUGCUGCAACUUUGCUACUAUGCUGUCAUUGCUGUGCUUUCCAUCAUGUUACAGGCAGUCGUAAGAAAUGAUCCUUGCUCAGAGGGGGUUGUUCUCACCAGUCUAGAGAGGAGAGAUGUGCACAGGAAGGGCAGGUGGGGAUAGUUUAUUCCCCACAGCAGUAGAGAUGGAUGCAGGGGAGGACGCUGAAUCCAGUUCUGAUGCCUAAGACAGCCCCAGCCUCCAGCAGCACGGCCACCUUCUUCAUCCAGGAAAUCCAAACUCCAGACCACUCCAUUCCCAUGUCAUGGAUGUGCAGGGCAGUGGGGAGUGGUGUUUGGUGUCUUCCAUCUUCUGCUGCUAUUAUUUCUGCACUGAUGGCAAAGGAGGGAGACUCCUUCAGGGAAUGACAGACGUCAGAGCAGGACUGGGAAGCUUUGGAGUUGCCUUUACUUUGUAUUUUUACACCUCAGCUUUACGUCUAGUGGGACUAUGGGAAAGCAUGCUGUGUCCCCUUACAGUCAGAGAUCCAAAGCUUUGAAUGCUUUUCUGUGUUCCAGAUGUGAAAAAAUGGAGCAGACAUUAGGUCUAAUGGAGGAUGAUGAAUUGUUUCCGUAGUAGGACAACCACGAGCUUGACUAGAAGAGAAUCAUAGUGGCCGUGGGGUGCUGCAUUACUGCUUUGGCUGCAACUGGUUCCUCUUCAAGCUCAUGUGUGGGGCAGGGUGGGGCAGCCCGGUCCCAGUGGAAAACACAGGAUGAAUGUGCAAGGCAGCAGGAAACUGCAGAAGUCAAAAUCCAGGGAUGGAGACUUCCUCCUCCAGUCAUGGAUGAGGUGAUAUUUUAAGGGAAAUAAUCUAUCAUAGUUUGCAGGUACUUAGAGACAAAAGAGUCUCAAGUCAUAACUUCACAUAACUUCACUUUUCCCUGGGUACUCGUAGCUAUCUGUGUCUCUGGAUCCUGAAGAGCUGCUUUCAAUGAGAAGCACAGCUCAAUACAGGGCAGCUUCUCAGUGGCUGCCCCAAACAAGCAGGAUGUUUUCUCCUGGUGUGUUCCAGAUAUACACGUGGGAGUGCACAUCCUGGAGACAGCCACCUGCACGCAGCCAUCUUCCACUGCAAGCCUUCUUUUCCCUUACCUACUGAGCUGUGAAUUCCCUUAUGCGCCAGUGGAGCUACUGCUCAUUAAAUCUAAUCAUCUGAGCAGAUGCUGAAGGAAACAAUGGGCUGGGAAUAAAGAUGACUUGGGUCAUGUGUUGCCAGACAUUCUCUACAGCAGAUUUGUGUUGCUCAGGUUUUUCAUUCCAGCUGACAUCCACCAGGAAGGGAGCAGUUCAACAAGGACAAGGAACUUUAAAUUAUGAAGAACUGAUUUCCAAAUAAUACAGAAGAAAUGCAUCGUACAAAAUAUUCCCCACCUAACAAAUCCUGUGACAUAGUAAUGGAUGUAAGUGCGAGUCAAUCUCAUCCUACUGCCAGCACAGCCAUAAUUGGCAAGAUGAAAACCCUUUCCCUGUCCGUGCCCUGAACGUGUAUCUGUGCUACAGGAAGCUAGGAAGGGUACUCUUGCUUUCAGUAAAUUGAUACACAUUGUGUAGAGGAACUGAUCUCAGAAAAUGGUCUACAUUAAGUUAAUAUCUGACUGUACAAGUAAUGUGGGGCCAAAAUUAGCCUUUGGGUGUGUUAGUGCAAAUGCAGGAUACCAUCACUGGGUGGAUGGGCUUUCUGGACCGUAAAUGGAGGGAGCAUUUGGUCUUUUGGAGGCU